rnacentral:rRNA from 1 species
GUCUACGGCCAUACCACCCAGAAUACACCUGAUCUCGUCUAAUCUCGAAAGCUAAGCAGGGUCAGGCCUAGUUAGUACUUGGAUGGGAGACUGCCUGGAAUACCAGGUGCCAUAGGCA